rnacentral:tRNA from 1 species
UCCACUGCCUUGAUCCACUUGGCUACAUCCGCCC